rnacentral:rRNA from 1 species
GGUAGGUAAAGCUCUAUCAGCAGGGAAGAUAAUGACGGUACCUGACUAAGAAGCCCCGGCUAAUUACGUGCCAGCAGCCGCGGUAAUACGUAGGGGGCAAGCGUUAUCCGGAUUUACUGGGUGUAAAGGGAGCGUAGACGGCAAGGCAAGUCUGAUGUGAAAACCCGGGGCUUAACCCUGGGACUGCAUUGGAAACUGUCUGGCUCGAGUGCCGGAGAGGUAAGCGGAAUUCCUAGUGUAGCGGUGAAAUGCGUAGAUAUUAGGAAGAACACCAGUGGCGAAGGCGGCUUACUGGACGGUAACUGACGUUGAGGCUCGAAAGCGUGGGGAGCAAACAGGAUUAGAUACCAUGGUAGUCCACGCAGUAAACGAUGAAUGAUAGGUGUUGGGAGCAAAGACUACUUCGGUGCCGCCGCAAACGCAUUAAGCAUACCACCUGGGGAGUA